rnacentral:rRNA from 1 species
CAGUCGCCACGGUAAUACGGAGGGUGCAAGCGUUAUCCGGAUUCACUGGGUUUAAAGGGUGCGUAGGCGGAUCUGUAAGUCCGUGGUGAAAUCUCCAGGCUUAACCUGGAAACUGCCAUGGAUACUAUAGAUCUUGAAUGUUGUGGAGGUUAGCGGAAUAUGUCAUGUAGCGGUGAAAUGCAUAGAUAUGUCUCAGAACACCAAUUGCGAAGGCAGCUUACUAAGGUAUGAUUGACGCUGAUGCACGAAAGCGUGGGGAUCAAACAGGAUUAGAUACCCGGGUAGUCCCUGUCUCUUAUAC